ensembl:lncRNA
CUUCAGAAAUCAUUCUAAUAUGCUGAUUUGGUGCUCAAGAAACAGUUCUGAUUUUUAUCAAUAUUGUUAUUUUUGAGGAAGCUGUGAUACACUACCAUUGAAAAGUUUAGGGUCAGUACAAUUUUUUUAAACAUUAAAAAAUAUAUAUAUAUAUAUAUAUAUAUAUUUAAGAAUUAAAUAUUUAUAUUCAGCAAGGAUGCAUUAAAUUGAUUAAAAGUGACAGGAAAGACCUUUAUAAUGUUACAAAAUAUUUAUUUUUCAAAUUUACGCUGUUCUUUUGAUAUUUUUAUGCAUCAAAGAACCCUGAAAAAUUAAAUGCAUCACAGUUUCCACAAAAAUAUUGGGCAACACACCUGUUUUCAUGACCUUUAUCAAAAAUAAUUUGCUAAUCAGCUCUAGACUUGUUUAUAGAGCCCUUGCAGGUUUUUCAGAUCAGUGUUUUGACUUCAAGCAGCAGAACAAGGAUUUGGGAAGAACUUUUCAUAUGACACCACGAGAACUUAAAUCAGUUCUUGGAAUCAGUGGAGUUUCUCUGAUGGAAUUAUAAGGUAUCAUAAAAAGGUUUUCUUGUUACCUCAUGCAGCUUUCAUUAUUUUUUGAGCAUUUAUACAGAAGACACUGAAGACACAGAACGAUAGUUUAUCUCUCACAAACGCCCACAUCACACACAGCAUCUGUACUUGUGUAGAGGAUUCAGUAACACCAUAUUUUCUCUCUCUGUCUCUCUAUCUUUUUUACCUCUCCUCCCUCACGCUGAGAGGAGAGAACAGAAGUGUUGAGUGUGGAGAGAUGAAGAAUAUCUCAUCCUUGUGAAGCCGUCAGACACACACUGUAAAGGAGAGCAGAGGGAGGGAAUCACUGAGCUUUCUCUGGACCAUCUGUAUAGCUCUUUGUCACCUGUCAAUGAAGGCUUGCAUAUUGUGUAAAGCAGAUUCCAUUCAUCUUCUCAUCACUGAAUCCUCAUCCAGCGCUAAUGGUUUCGGAAACAGUGACCUGUCUGCUGUAUAUCUGAGAGGAGGCCUGUCCUUCCACGACAAAUGUGUUGUGUGUGCUGACGUCCACCUGGCGUCCAGAACAGAAGCAAAAACCAAAAGAAAGAUCCUGUCGAGACGCAGAUUAACUUUAGGACAAAAUGAGGAGCGUUAAACGUGAAGCAGGAGCCAGAAGCCCAUCAGCAGAACAUUAUGCCAUUUAUUUUAAUACGCAAACGCCUCAGUAAUUGAGUGAACCAGCCAAUUGAUUCUAAUUAUUCACUGAGUGAAUUUACCUUCAAACUAAAUUUCCAUCGAUUAUAAAAUAACAUGUAACGAUGUAGAAUAAAUUUGCUAAUAAUAAUAAGUAUAAGGAUUAU